CCCUUAGAUGUUCUGGACCGCACGCGCGCUACACUGACGAAUGCAACGAGCUUAUAACCUUGGCCGAAAGGUCUGGGUAAUCUCCAAAUUUCGUCGUGAUGGGGAUAGAUUAUUGCAAUUAUUAAUCUUCAACGAGGAAUGCCUAGUAAGCGCAAGUCAUCAGCUUGCGUUGAUUACGUCCCUGCCCUUUGUACACACCGCCCGUCGCUCCUACCGAUUGAAUGGUCCGGUGAAGCGUUCGGACCGUGGCCUUUGGACGGUUCGCCGUCUGUUGGCUGCGGGAAGUUCGUUAAACCUUAUCAUUUAGAGGAAGGAGAANUCGUAACA
rnacentral:rRNA from 1 species